UUCCAUUACCUGAUGAUGGUGAUGAUGGUUUCCACUUCCUGAACACUCACACCCCUGGGCUAGGCACUUAACCCAAAUCCAAGGUCAGCGUUAUUGUUUGGGGGUGGGGGAGACACCUCCUGCUCUGACUCGUGUGUUUGGGUUCCCGUAUUUUCACCAGAGGGUGUUAGUUCUGCCCAAGUUCAGCUGGUCCUCAAAGUGUAUAUAGCUCUUUAACCAUCAGCAAGUGUCAGUCAGAACAUAAUCUUGAUUUCAGCUGCUACUAAAUAUCUACCAGGAGCCUGCUUGAGAGAGAGAAUUGCCUGACAGGUGCUGAGUCCACCAUUCCUGAGACACUUUGAAAUCAGUGUCUGACUUAACCCAAGCUGUGUAUGGGGACCCUCUCACCGUGGUCCCAAUGGAGUCGCUUUUGUUAGGCGCCCCCCUUUACCUUGGGCUCUGAGCUUCCUCUGCCUUUCAUCUCUGCAGGAUGAAGCCCCACCCGCUGUACAGGAUGCAAAGCCCUCCUCUAUAAAGUGCGUGCGGGGCCAGAUGCAGUGGCUCACGUCUGACCUCCCAACACUUUGGGAGGCCGAGGCAGGGGCAUCGUUUGAGACCAGCCUGGACAACAUUGUGAGACCCUGUUCCUUGAAUUGCCCUGGGAGAUUUCCUCAGCUUGUACUGGAGGUGUGUGGCCCCAUGAAGCCCAUAGUCACCGUUCACCCUGAGAGACGCUGGCUUUGGGGCUCACAUGCCUGCUGCGGGGCAGCCCCAGGAGAUGGCCACCCUGUUUCUCCUGGAGCUGGAGCUGCGCGUGUUCUCAGCAACUGUGGUGGCUGUCCUGUUUUGUUUGCAUCUUAUAAACCUUUACCUGAUUACAUUUUCCUCUUCAAUUUAGCUGCUAGAAAACUUAAAGUCAGAUUGGUGGCUCACCAGUAAUGAGAGUUUAGAGUAGAGGUAAACUUUAUGACAUAGUCUUAGACUCUUCACUUUCUCCUCAGCCAACAUGAUUCACAUUUACUUUAUUUUGCUGUACUGUGAGUGUCUUUGUGUUUCCUGAAUUCCUUCUGGAAUAAGGCAGGUUGUUAGUAAGCACAGGUUUCUGGUCCAUCUCAUAGCCUCAGGCAGUGGGCGGUGCUGUCCGUGCUCCCUUUCUGGGUUACCUGUGGUAGCUCUGAAGUUGCAGGGCUGCGAUUUGAAGCCUGAUUUAGUACACCGUGUUUCUGUUGUGUUCUGUGGUGGUUUGCUCCUCACAUGUGAGCAUUCACCCUGUGGCCCUGUGUUUUUCCACCACACCUCUGCCUGGUGGCAUCCUACUGGAUGUCUCAGCCGAGCCACUCUGUUCUGAAGACGCCCUUGUCCUCCACCCCUUUGCUUUGGGCUCUGAGCUUCUUCUGCCUUUCAUCUCUGUAGGAUGAAGCCCCACCCGCCCUUCAGGAUGCCAGCCUUGGCAACAUUGUGAGACCCUGUUUCUACAAAAAGUAAACGUGUAGUGGUGCACGCCUGUAGUUCUAGCUACUUGGGAGGCUGAGAUGGGAAGAUCACUUCAGCCUGGGAGGUUGAGGCUGCAUUGAGCUGAGAUCAAGCCACGGCACUCCAGCCUGGGAGACAGAGCGAAACCCCAUCUCAAAAAAACAAAGAAAGUGGAUGCACGCUGCUCCUGCCAUUGGAUCAUCGCAGCAUUUUUCUUUUCUCUGAUAUGCGCCUUUUUCCUCAUCGUGGGGGCUCAUGUUUUUGUACUUUCCUCUCGCUACUAGAUUGUGAGCUGCGUGAAGGAAGGUUCAUAGUUGUGUUGUAUGUACAGGCACACAAAAUUUGUCCUUGGAUAGACACAUAUCAAUCCGCUUCCUUCUCCUCUCUGAAGUUCUUUAUUUAAAAAAAAAAAUUAGAGAUGGAGUCUCACUGUCUUGCCCAGGCUGGUCUCAAACUCCUAGGCUCAAGCGAUCCUCCCGCCUCUACUAAUAUGAAUUAUUAGCCUAUACUAAUAUGAAUUCCUAUACUAAUAUGAUUGAAAUUAGUUUGACUUGUAUAAUAAUUGUUCUCCCAGAUUGGCCUUCUGUUUUGAUAGUAGAACUAAAUUAUUAGGCUAUUUCAAGAAAUUAAUAUAUUACUGGUAGAAAAACUGAAGCUACAAAAUGGCCUGGUUUCUCACUUCAGUUAAAUUUGUGCUUCUGAGUGCUUGUAUUGUAGGUGAAACCGCACUGAGAAGGUAUUUGUGGCCCGUAUGCUGAUUGAUUGAUGAGACUUCUUUGCACAGGAGAGCUGCUAAAAAUUACUGCGGUGAACAGUCUUGUUCCAGUGGUUCAUCGGUGACUUCUGUGGCUUCGUCAUCAUUAUCCAUGGAUGAUUCUGAAAGAAUCUCUCCAGUUUUACUGGAAUUGGAUCCUACUAAUUCUUCUGUUUCACGGCAGUCAGAAGAACCACUACUUUCAGGGCCUUCGUUUUCACUACCUUCAGAAUGUAGUAAAUCUUUCUCAGCUUGAGACACAUCAGAUUCCUCCAUUUCAUUAUUUUCCUCAGAAGUCUCUUCAUUCACAGUUGAGGCAUCAUCAGAUUCUUUUUCUUGGUUUUUUCUUUCUGGGACCAUUUCUCUUGAUGUCAUAAAAGACUCUAAAAAUAAGCAAAUGUUGUUGUACUUAAAUUUUAUAUUCAAAAUACCUCCACAGUUAAGUUUUGUGAAUUCUGAUGUUCUGUAGUUCAAAUCACAUCCCCUGAAAUUCAGCAGCAACUGCAUACAGGUGGGAGAAAAGCCCAGCGUCGACAUUACAAGGAGUUCCAUGAUGUACAAUUCUUUCACGAAAACAAUGAAUGCAAGAAUUUGAGGAUCUCCUUACUCCUCCCUUUUACAGAUGGUCUCUCAAUCCCUUCUUCUUCCUCUUCAUCUUCAUCUUCUUCUGAACGCGCUGCCGGGUACCACGGCUUUCUUUGUCUUUAUCGUGAGAUGAAGGUGAUGCUUCUGUUUCUUCUACCAUAACUGAAGAAAUUUCGCUGCAAGUCUCUUGACUGGCUGUUUCUCCGACUUCGCCUUUUUGUCAAACGUGAGUCUUUUUACCUCAUGCCCCUCAGCUUCCACAGCAUCUUCAUCUGGAUGUUUAUUUCUCAAAGGGCUCACUGAGGAAACUUCUGAUUCAGAUGUCGAAGAGUCACUGUGAGUUUUCUCUUCAUUUUGCUGCAAAUUUGCCUCUUUGCUGUCUGUGCUCUCAGGCCACCCAUUUGUUGUCAUGGGGGCUGACAGAGAAACCUUUGGUCGAUUACGUGGCCUGGGUGUCCCAGGCCCAUUUAUAUUAGACCUCUCAGUAUAGCUUGGUGCAUUUCCAGGAAACAUCACACCAUUCAUUCGAUUUAAACUAUUGGAAUUGUUUUUCUCUGAAGAAGGAUAAACACAGCUAACAACCAUCACGUUCUUUUCUACUCCUCUGAGAAAUUUGUCUGUUCCUGUAUAGUUUCUCCUUGGAUCUGUUAACAAUUCACAUAGUCGCUGAAUAGUAAAAGGGAUACGGUUAAAUCCAGUGACAGUUUUCAGUAUUCUUCCCUUUGUUUCAUCAAAGGGAAUAUAUUCGACUUUAGGGUUGGGAGGACCUCUUGGCGCAGGAGCUGAAGUUCUGAAAUCAUCUAUCACUUUCUCCAGUUUGAAAAUAAAAUAGCCUUUAAAUUGGGACCACUGAAUCUGUUUCUCCAGUCUUGGCUACAUGACAAAGGAACUGAUCCAGGACAGGACAGACUUUCUUUUUUGCCUCUUCUCAAAAUCUUCCAGCGCCUCCUGGAGCCUGUCGACGUCCAUGGCUUCCCAGAGUCCCUCACAGCCUCCGUCUCCCUCCGCGGGUCUCUUGGGGACCGGAACGCCUCCCCCCACCCCCCGACAUCCUCCCACUCCCUCGCACACCCUCCAGCACGCAGGCCAAGUGGGGUGGGGGGGAACGAAGGGAGCCAGGGGAAGCGUGUGAGAGAGUGAGACCGACAGAGUGAGCACCUCCCCAAGCCGCUACCACCAGCCCUCCAACAUGGCGCCUGGCACAUCACCCUAAAAAGUCAUUUCUUGGAGAAGCGAUGGAUGACAGAGAUUAAUCUGAGAGUUACUAUUAAUGGAGAAACUUAGAACUUACCAUUUUUCCUGUGAGGUUUCGGUGCUGAUACUUCUAUUCUGUGAGUUCUGGCAAUUGUGUCCGUUCACCCAGCCUGGUGAUGCAGCAGGUGUCACAGAAGGACCCUGUCCCAGCUGGUCCUGCUCCACUGCUAGGAUGGUGUGGCCUCUGAUCUGUGACCGUGUCUUGAGGGGAGACCAGGCCCUUGAUCACAAGCGUAUCCAUGGUGAGGUUCCGUGGAUGGAAGCUCAUGGAUGUUCCUUCCUGAUGUUCAUCUGCCACCAUGCUAUUGAAUGCAUCUUGUUUAUAACUGUCUUCUAAAUAUUGAAUAGAAAUAAAGCAUUUGUACAGUAUGGUUAAGGUAUAAAGAAUAUUGACACAUUGGACACAGAGGACCUCCACCAAGUUUAGGGAGUAGAAUCUGAAGAGACAUAGCUUUGGAUGCUCCCUGGAGGCCCUGCCUGAGUCCCAGUCCCUUCCCUUCUCCUACGGAGGGAAUCAUUUCCUGCUUUAGUCUUUAUUAUUUGCACACUUUCCUUCAUAGUAUGUUUCUUUCACCGUGUGUGUACAUCCCUAAAAGAUAUGCCAUUUAGUUUUUGAACUUUCUGUUUUCUUUUUGAGGCAGGGUCUUGCUCUGUUGCCUCGGCUGUAGUUUUGAACUUUGACGUGAGGGAAUUCUCCUGCGUGGCUGCUCCUGCACUGCAUGGCUCUGAGCACCUGCUCUGUGUCUAUUUUUGUCCUCCAUUCUCUCCCUGAGACCCACCCACACUGACAUGGCUCAUUUUCAUUGCUGCAUGGUCUCCCGUCGUCUGAGGGGAGCAUGGGAAAUGUCUUCAUCUUCCCGUGGAUGAGUGUUUGGCCAGGUUGGGGCCCUUAGGACUGUGUUUUGUUGGGAACGUUCUUGGGCAUUUCUUUUGUACACAGCGCAAGUUUCUUCUGGUCAGUAGCUUUCAAAUUUUAAAAUUUCAUCCCAGGUAAAAAUGUAAUUUUCCUCAUAACCCACAACACACACUCUUUCAUAUACAAGCAUAGCAGAAAUAUACUUCACAAGCGUUAGCAGUGCCUGUUGUUCCUGCUUCUCUCCAUUCUCCCCAACGCUGGCAUGGAUUGGGUUGUGGGAUUUUUGCCCGUCUGGUGGUUGUCACGUGAUAUCUCCCCCUGUUAGGCUGAGCCCCUCUUCAUGUUUUCAUUAGCCAUUCCUCCACAUUUCCUCUUCUGUGGAGGGCCGGUUCAGCUCUUUUGCCCAGUUUCUGUUAAGUUGUUUGAAUUUUUGCACUUUUCCUUUAUUAUUCCUAUUACUAUGUUUUUGAGACAGAAUAUCACUCUGUCACCCAGGCUGGAUGUGAUCUCAGCUCACUGCAACCUCCAUCUUCUGGGUUCAAAUGAUUCUCCUGCCUCAGCCUCCCAAGUGGCUGGGAUUACAGGCACACACCACCAUGCCCAGCUAAUUUUUAUAUGUUUACUACAGAUGGGUUUUCACUAUGUUGUCCAGGCUGGUCUGAAACUCCUGACCUCAGGUGAUUCUCCCACCUCAGCCUCCCAAAGUGCUGGGAUUAUGUGGGUGGCAAGCCACCCAGGCACCGAGGCAAGAGACAGAGGACACGAGCUGUUCCAGUAUAAUAAAAUAUAAAACAAGAAUAGUUAUGCCAGAUAUAGAUCUUAGAUAUGAUUAUAUAUGAAUAUCAUUAAUCAUUAGUUUGUAGCAAUUGCUUUUUAUUCCAAUAUUAUGAUAAUCCUCGCUCUAUAAUCAUAGUGUAGGAAAAACCAGGCCAUACAGAGAUAGGAGCUGAGGGGACAUAGUGAGGUGUGACCAGAAGACAAGAGUGCGAGCCUUCUGUUAUGCCCGGACCGGGCCACCAGAGGGCUCCUUGGUCUAGCGGUGAUGCCAGCGUCUGGGAAGAUGCCUGUUACCAGGCGGAUCGUGGUCCAGCAGUAGCAAAAGGUGUCAAGGAACAACACCCGAUACUUAGCAGACCAGGAAAGGGCGGGGGGGGGGGGGGUCUCCCUUUCCCCGGGGGAGUUUAGAGAAGACUCUGCUCCUCCACCUCUUGUGGAGGGCCUGACAUCAGUCAGGCUCGCCUGCAGUUAUCCGGAGGCCUAACCGUCUCCCUGUGAUGCUGUGCUUCAGUGGUCACGCUCCUAGUCCGCCUUCAUGUUUCAUCCUGUACACCUGGCUCUGCCUUCUAGAUAGCAGUAGUAAAUUAGUAAAAAUACUAAUAGUCCCUGAUAUGCGGAAAUAAUGGCAUAAGCUGUCUUUCUCUCUGUCUCCUCUCCCUCUCUGCCUCGGCUGCCAGGCAGGGAAGGGCCCCCUGUCCAGUGGACACGUGACCCACGUGACCUUACCUAUCAUUGGAGGUGACUCACAUUCUUUACCCUGCCCCUUCUGCCUUGUAUCCAAUAAAUAACAGCGCAGCCAGACAUUCGGGGCACUACUGUUCUCCGCGCAUUGGUGGUAGUGGUCCCCCAGGCCCAGCUGCCCUUUCUCUUAUCUCUUUGUCUUGUGUCUUUAUUUCUACAACACUCUCUCGUCGCCGCACACAGGGAGAGACCCACCGACCCUGUGGGGCUGGUCCCUGCAGGGUUAUAGGCAUGAGCCACCAUGCCCGGCCUGCUUUUUUCUUUUUCAAAAGGCCUGUUUCUAGAUUAUACCUAUUCAUUCCGGUGACUAUAUGUGGGGCAAAGAUGGGUUUGAAUCCACCAGGAUAAACGUGCCGGAUCUCCUCUCUGAUGGAAGAAGAGACAGGGAUAGAAGGGUACAGAGAAUCAGAGCCAAGAGGAGGCUGAGUCAGGCGGGGGUUGCAGGCUGCUGUGAGGACUUGGCUGCUUCUCUGAGACUGGUGGGAUUAGCAGGGGAUUUAAACAGAGGAACCGUGGGAUCUCCCUUAUGCAUUUCUGCCAUGGUUGGCUCAGCUGAACGCACCUCUUGAGCAAGACUUGGUCUUGGACACCCAGAGGCCCUUGGUUGAGGGUUUACCUCCUGGCGUGGCCACUGACACAUCCACGUUUGGCUCCCACACGGCUGGGCGGCCCCGAGACCUGCUGUGCCUGCCCUUCUCAUUGGUGGCAUUUCUCAAGUUUGUCCCCUCUCAAGUCUGCCCCAUCCGGAAAACCAAACACCUCUCUCUCCUACAUGGAAACCCCCGUCAGCACCUCCUCCUGACUCACAGGGCAUCCCGUCAACAUCACAGUCCCAACCUUCCCACACGGACAAGCUCAUGGGACCCCCUGAUGGACCAGGACAGCGCCAGCACUAAGACGUGCCCUGGAACUCACAGGAAGAGCGGACCAAGAAGCCGGGAACAGCACGGGGCACUGGGAGCUGCAAACGCCCACGAUACUGUGAGAGACGGAGAAAGGUAUGACAGGUGGAGCGGACCAAGAAGACGGGAACAGCACGGCGCACUGGGAGCUGCAAAUGCCCCCGAUACCGUAAGAGAUGGAGAAAGGUAUGGCCAUGGCGGUCACAAAAUGUUACUCAACAUUUAUUAAAGGCCUAAAUGGAGAACCUAACGCUAUCAAACCCUUAGCUAAAAACACAGGGGAAAAUUCGUAUGGCCUGGGGUUAGGCGAAAAGUUCUUAGACAUGACACCAAAAGCAUGAUUCAUAAGAUUGACAAAUUAAAUGUAGUCAUAAAUUUAAAAUUAUAAUUCUAUAAAGCAAUAUAAAAAUCCAAAGAGAAUGAAACACAAACUAUGGUCUAGAAAUAAACAUUUGUGAAUCACACAUCUCACAACCUACUGGCACGCAGGAUAUAUGAAGAACCAUCAAAACUUAACCAUAAGAAAGUAAAAACCCCAGUAUUAAAGAGAGGGCCAAUAUUGGAACGGAGGCCUCAUCAAAGAAGGUAUAAGGAGGGCAUAUUGCCCGAGAAAGAGGCUCAACAUCAUAGAGAUGCUGGAGAAAUGCCAGUCAGCAGUACCUCUGCAAAUCCAUUAAAAUGGCUAAAAACAGACAAAACCCAUGGGCCAACCCAGGUUCUAGUGAUGAUGCAGAGGAACUGGGACCCUCAUAAGCUGCAGUGGGAAUGGGAGGGGUCCCGCCAUGCUGGAAAGUGGUCCGGGAGUUUCUUACGAAGUUAAGCACAUCCUUACCAUGUCAUCCAGCAACCCCACUGCUGAAAUGUCCCCCAAGGGAAAACUUAAACGUGCACACACAAACCUGCACACAAGUGUUUAGGCCUCAUUCCUCAUUGCCAAUAACUGGAAGAAAACAAAAUGUCCGUCGGCAGGAGCAGGAGAAGGCGUGAACCAACGCGGAUGCUUCCACAUAGGGGACACCAACCAGCGGUGGAAAGAUGCACCCAAAUGCGCCAGGUCUCCCAGGCUACAUGCCCGGUGAAGGAAGCUAGUUUCGGUGGCCACAGGCCGAAGGAUGCCAACACAUGACAUCUUGGAGAAGAC
rnacentral:lncRNA from 1 species